rnacentral:lncRNA from 1 species
UUGACAAAUCAUGGGCUUCAGGUUUCUGUCAUCUCCAUUGUUGUUCUGUUGGCCUACCUAGUUGCUUCACCACCUUCAAAACCAGCCGCUGCCAACUGCCAAGGGAAGCAAGAACUAGAUUUCACCUUGGAGACUGAAGGAGCCCAUUUGUUUUCCAAAGAAGGGCCUCUGCUUUUUCGUAGAGUAGCUCUUGAGCUUGGG